rnacentral:rRNA from 1 species
GAGGAAGGUGGGGAUGACGUCAAGUCCUCAUGGCCUUAAUAUCCAGGGCUACACACGUGCUACAAUGGGCGGUACAAAGGGCAGCGAAACAGCGAUGUGGAGCCAAUCCCAAAAAGCCGUCCACAGUUCGGAUUGGAGUCUGCAACUCGACUCCAUGAAGUUGGAAUCGCUAGUAAUCGCGGAUCAGCAUGCCGCGGUGAAUACGUUCCCGGGCCUUGUACACACCGCCCGUCACACCACGAAAGUUGGCUGUACCAGAAGUGCGUGGGCUAACCCCUCGGGGAGGCAGCGUACCAAGGUGUGGUCGGUAAUUGGGGUGAAGUCGUAACAAGGUAGCCGUAA